GGCCCCGUAGCUCAGACGGAUAGAGCAGCGGUUUCCUAAACCGUUGACCUGGUGACCUACCACAGACCUUCGUGGAGGUCACCA
rnacentral:tRNA from 1 species